GUAAGUCUACCCCUCAAUCCCGAAGCUUUCCUCAGUGGGUUAACAGGAAAGCCGGUGAUGCUGAAACAAAGUGGGGAAUGGAGUACAAGGGCUAUCUGGCAUCUUAGAUGGCUACAUGAACAUGCAGCUUGCAAAUAAGAGAAAUACAUAGGUGGGGAGCUGUCUGGACAUCUGGGUGAAGUUUUAAUAUGGUAUAAAAAUGUCCUUUAUAGUAGAGGUAUGGAAGAAAAGGAAGAAAAUGGGGGAAGUGA
rnacentral:lncRNA from 1 species